GUAGUUUUCCAGUCAGUAGCUCUAAUCAUGUCAGCAAUUAUCCUCUUUAGCAGCCGUCUGUGUAGACAACACAUUGAAGGAAGGUUCUAGAAACCUAGCGUAUAGAAGACAUUCAAACAGGAGCAUGCAAAGCCAGGUAAGGACAGCUAGUGCGGGAUGAGAGCCUCAGGGAGGUCACUGUGAGCGGCUGCUAUUACAGAUGCCCGGUCCCUCAGAGGAUACUGGACCGCAGCCGUCCUUAAAGGGGUUCUUGGUUAGAAAAAAAGAGUAUCCGUGUGUAUAAAUGUAUGGUACUCCAUACAGAAGAAGUCCUGAGAAGCGGUGUGAUAAAAUUUCACUUGCAUGAUAAAGCUAAGGAAACUGCACAAGGAAAGCCCCGUAGAGCAGCGGAGUGUGGAACGUGCUCAGGUGGAAGCUGCCUUAUCAGGACAUCUUACUCCAGGGGGGAUGCUCAAGAUGGACUCCUUGUGCCUUGCAAGAUGCUGCUCUUUUUAACAUUGUCAAAUAACACCUGCUCACUAUGGAAACUUUUUAAAUACAGAGAAACAGUGAAACAAAUUUACCCACAGUCAUCAGCUCACCUUAUUAUUGGCUUUUUUUGCUGUGUUCCUGUUUUUCGCGGGGUUUGCCAGAACCUCAAACAAGCACCCAGCCUUCUUGUGUAUUUUUCCCCAAAAUAUUACUAUUCAGAUGA
rnacentral:lncRNA from 1 species